GGCGUCAUAUGGAAACCAGGCUUUACAGCGAGCAAUAAUCUAAUAUAAUGUUCUGUUGUCCUUUUGUUUAGCAAUGUAACGAUGUCGUUUUAAUGUCAUAUCUUGCUACUAUAACUAAAGGAUGCAACACCAUGAACGAGGUGAGCUGUGGAAAUUAUCAUGGUUUGUUCAAAAUGAUUCUAUUCUACAGUAACUCUAAGGCCCCAGUUACACGAUACCGGAUUCGCAUCGGAGCGAGUCGAGCAACAUCAACUAAGACGCUUUCCAGCCUCUCACAACUUUUCAUAUUUGACGUUUUUGACUAAUUCUGUUUUAUUAUCAUAAUUUUGAGUGCUAAACUCCCCUAAAAACUGUAAAAUUUAAUGUCGCUGAUCUAACUUUUUAGUUUAUCACGAAGUUCAACGUUGUCUAUGACCGUCACGGAGUUGGUCGUCGGAUGAGAGGACUCUUUUUUUGAAAUUCACUACAUCCUUAACGUCAAGAUUUUGUUAUAAUAUUUGUUGUUUCUUCUGAAGGAAUUGUACAUAAUGGUUUAACCAUGAUAACAAUCGUGACAAUAACUUGUUGGCAAACAAGAUAUAUCAUCGAACGAAACAGAUCGUCGUAAAGAUAAAUCAUUCAUGAUUCAUGCAUGAACUUUUUUGCUUGUAAUGAAACGAUUUACAGCCAGUGAAAUAACGGUCGACUGUCCUGUCAAUCUGCGUCCAAAUUGCAGAUUUUUCAAUCAAAUUCUCAGUUGUUUCAGAAUCUUUUUCCGUACAAAACGUAGCGAUAAGUUUUCUCAAAUACUUGGUUAACCAAACACAUCUAAACAUCCCGCUAAGAAUACUGUAUGACAUCACAAUACUUUUCUGUAACAAAACGUUUCCAUAAUAAUUACUGUAAUUAAUAACCAUAUUGAAAAACGUAUACAAGCACUAUUUCCCAUAUGCUGUAUAGUAUAAACAUGAACGUUUGCCUGACCUGGUUUUAAAAUGAACCGAAAAUAUGCCUGUCGACAUUUGAAAAAUUGAGGUCAAAUUUGAUCGGACUUUUUCCGGAAAAUUGUGACCGUUAUUUCAGGCUUUGUGAUUCGCCCAUCGUAAAAUAUUAGGCAGGAGCAGAGUGUUAAAAGACUGGUGAAAAUUUAACAGAAAAAUUGAACCUUAUAUUAUAUAAGGCCUACAGUUUGUCUUACAUGACUUUCUAUUUCUCGUGUCAUAGCUUGAAUCAUAGUUAUUUGGCAUGCCCUUCAAUAACAAUUCAGUGCAUGAUCGCAAUGUAUAGUAUAUCGUCGCACUUGUGAUGUUUUCAUUAUGCUACCUCGAAAAUACUUGGUGGGACACUGAGGAGUUUGCACCUGUUUUGCGCAUGCUCCAGGGCACCGCACUAUCGUUCUGGGGCCGGUUGUUCAAAGGUGGGUUACCGCUAACCCUGGGUUAAAAUUUAACAUGCUGUUUUAGUUUGUGUAUUUCUGCACGUCUGUUUAUUUCAAAACUUCAGAGAAGUAAACUAUCUAUCCAGACAAGAUCUCUGAAGAAAUAUUCCCAAAUUUAAAGACAUGCUUGUCAGGAUGUUUGCUUUGAAUUUUAGGUUAACCUAGGGUUAAGCUAACCUAGCUUUGAACAACCGGCCCCAGUAGUACUUUGUCUGGUUUGCACGUGGGACGCAUGAAGCUGGCCGAAUUCGAACAUAGUUAAAUAUACGAAUUCCUGUGUGAAUAAGUGGAACCAGACGAGUUUGCGGGGUAUGAUUCCGAAUUCUCUCGGUCCCAUAUGAACGUAAUUGUUCGUGGUAUCGGUAUUUGAGUUUAAUAAUCUACAUUUUAUUUGUCUGAAAAUCCUGAAAUCAACCUUAAAAACAACAAUGUAAACAGUGUAAAAUCAAGAUGGUGUUCACGAGACUAUAAACGUUCGAAAAUAACGAUGUAUAAAGGCUUGAAAAUAUCAAAAUUAUGUACUGCUUAAAACACGCGAGCAGGAGUGCUUUAUCAGAUAUAAAACGCGAGAGCGUAGCUCGAGUGUUUAUAUCUGAUAAGGACGGACUGCGAAUGUUUUAAAUGGCUUAAAAAACGACCCAUCUGAUAUUCUGAUGAGUUCAUUGGUGAAGUAAUUUUAAAACUAAACGUUGUCUAAGUCGAGAAAAUGAACAUGAUUUUUUAUCACAUUUUUAUCUUUUGUAUUUUCGCAUAAAUUAUUAAUGAGUUUUUAAAAUUAAAUUUGCAAUCUCUCAAGAAGCUAUACAAAGCAACAACACCAACGGCAGGUCACCAACGGCAGGUCAGUUUGAUGUACAAGUACUACGUCAUCCUUAUCCGUGGGAUCCACCUUUGCCAAAAUUAGAUCUCCACCGUAACUUUUCUCCGCUCUAACUGAUUAGCAAUAUAGUCUAUUAUAGAAACACAUAACCACCUUAAUUGCCACGUCCCUGUAUAAUCCUAUAAUCUAGAAACGUUGGCUUAGUUGAACGAGUAUAAAGUUGACUCCCCCGUUAUGAUUUUCCUCUUCGUGUGUCCUCGAGGUAGUAUUAUUGGAAACCUUGUAUCGUAAUGCAAAUACUCCGCAAAUUCGAAACGACUGUCUGAUCGGAUGACGCCACUUUAAUCUAAUCUUGGGUUUAACUUAACUAAAGGGAUUGCUUACGGGUAAUGGUCGUUUUCCCUGAGCAUCUCUGAUAAUUGCCUCCCGAGCAUCUGCUAUCUCGUGCAGUUCAACACUAGUCACUUUGUCGACACUUCUGCCUUGCAUGUUAUGUAAACUACCGACCUGCCAGCGUAAAUGUGGACCGAUCUUGUCCAAUUUGAAGAGUG
rnacentral:lncRNA from 1 species